UUCCCGGUUGAUCCUGGCGGAGGUCACUGCUAUCGGGGUUCGAUUAAGCCAUGCGAGUCGAGAGGGUUCGGCCCUCGGCGUACUGCUCAGUAACACGUGGAUAACCUGCCCUAAGGAAGGGGAUACCCCCGGGAAACUGGGGAUAAUACCCUAUAGGUUACAGAUGCUGGAAUGCUCUGUACCCGAAAGUUCCGGCGCCUUAGGAUGGAUCUGCGGCCGAUUAGGUUGUUGUCGGGGUAACGGCCCAACAAGCCAGUAAUCGGUACGGGUUGUGGGAGCAAGAGCCCGGAGUUGGAUUCUGAGACACGAAUCCAGGCCCUACGGGGCGCAGCAGGCGCGAAAACUUUACAAUGCGGGCAACCGUGAUAAGGGAACCUCGAGUGCCUGUAUAUGCAGGCUGUCUGGGUGUCUAAAACACACCUAAAGAAAGGGCCGGGCAAGACCGGUGCCAGCCGCCGCGGUAAUACCGGCGGCUCGAGUGGUGGCCACUUUUAUUGGGCUUAAAGCGUUCGUAGCUGGGUUAUUAAGUCCCUUGGGAAAUCCGACGGCUUAACCGUCGGGCGUCUAAGGGAUACUGGCAAUCUUGGAACCGGGAGAGGUGAGGGGUACUUCGGGGGUAGGAGUGAAAUCCUGUAAUCCUCGAGGGACCACCUGUGGCGAAGGCGCCUCACCAGAACGGCUUCGACAGUGAGGGACGAAAGCUGGGGGAGCAAACCGGAUUAGAUACCCGGGUAGUCCCAGCCGUAAACGAUGUGCGUUAGGUGUAUCGGUGACCACGAGUCACCGAGGUGCCGAAGGGAAACCGUGAAACGUACCGCCUGGGAAGUACGGUCGCAAGGCUGAAACUUAAAGGAAUUGGCGGGGGGGCAC
rnacentral:rRNA from 1 species